UCCCUGCUAGCUCAGUGGUAGAGCGCUUCACUAGUACCGAAAGCGUAUCAUGAAGAGGUCAGUCGUUCAAGUCGGCUGCGGGGAA
rnacentral:tRNA from 1 species